AACGCGAAGAACCUUACCUGGGCUCGAACGGCUCCCUAACGACUGUGGAAACAUGGUUACCCCGCAAGGGGGUGGAGUCGAGGUGCUGCAUGGCUGUCGUCAGCUCGUGUCGUGAGAUGUUGGGUUAAGUCCCGCAACGAGCGCAACCCUCGCCCUUAGUUGCCAGCCCGCAAGGGCGCACUCUAGGGGGACUGCCACGGAUAACGUGGAGGAAGGUGGGGAUGACGUCAAGUCCUCAUGGCCUUUAUGUCCAGGGCUACACACGUGCUACAAUGGUCGGUACAAUCCGUCGCCAACCCGCGAGGGGGAGCCAAUCGGAAAAAGCCGACCUCAGUUCGGAUUGUAGUCUGCAACUCGGCUACAUGAAGCUGGAAUCGCUAGUAAUGGCAGAUCAGCAUGCUGCCGUGAAUACGUUCCCGGGCCUUGUACACACCGGCUAC
rnacentral:rRNA from 1 species